rnacentral:rRNA from 1 species
UAGGGAAUCUUCGGCAAUGGACGAAAGUCUGACCGAGCAACGCCGCGUGAGUGAAGAAGGUUUUCGGAUCGUAAAACUCUGUUGUUAGAGAAGAACAAGGACGUUAGUAACUGAACGUCCCCUGACGGUAUCUAACCAGAAAGCCACGGCUAACUACGUGCCAGCAGCCGCGGUAAUACGUAGGUGGCAAGCGUUGUCCGGAUUUAUUGGGCGUAAAGCGAGCGCAGGCGGUUUCUUAAGUCUGAUGUGAAAGCCCCCGGCUCAACCGGGGAGGGUCAUUGGAAACUGUGAGACUUGAGUGCAGAAGAGGAGAGUGGAAUUCCAUGUGUAGCGGUGAAAUGCGUAGAUAUAUGGAGGAACACCAGUGGCGAAGGCGGCUAUCUGGUCUGUAACUGACGCUGAGGCUCGAAAGCGUGGGGAGCAAACAGG